rnacentral:lncRNA from 13 species
CCAACAAGUCAAAAUAAGUUUCUAUUUACUCCUCAGAUACUCUAAAAUGUAAUCCAACUACGUAUAAUAUUUCUUACAGAAAGAGGUAUGUUCAAUAGGAAACCAAUUUUAGCAGGUGCGUCCUGUCUUCAUUGCGCAUGCACACACGAAUUUCCAAGACUGUGUCCCUGUACUAAAGCUGAUAUUUCUUAUUCAUUUUUAAAGUUAGAAGUCUGAAACCUUGAAUAUAGACUGAAUAUAGAAGCAUAUUUCCAAUAGGACUUUUUACUUGCCUUUCUAAGAGGAUGGUCUGUCUCUCAGAAAAAAUUCUGUUGGUUUUUCUUUGGAUUUUCUGCUAACAUAUCUAUUGUGUUAUAUUCUCCUACAUUAUUUUAACAUUUCUACAACCUCCAGAGUGUUUCCUUUCCAAUGGUACCAAUUAUAUGCACAUGUUGGCUUCAGGGCCUGAGCAACAGGGCACGUCAGUCAGGUGGAAAUUGAGAAAAAAGGGGUCUAUCAGUUUUCCACGUUGAUGAAACGUUAUCAUUUUGUUUUGUUUUGACAUGAAAUGAAAUGACAUUGUUUUUCUGUCUGGCUGUAGGUACUGUAACUCCCUUGUUUUUCUGUCUGUCUGUAGCUACUGUAACUCCCUUGUUUUUCUGUCUGGCUGUAGCUACUGUAACUCCCUUGUUUUUCUGUCUGGCUGUAGCUAAUGUAACUCCCUUGCUUUUCUGUCUUCAUCUCAUCGUUCCCACUGGGCACACACUGGUUGAAUCAACGUGGUUUCAGCAUCAUUUCAAUUAAAUGACGUUGAACCAACGUCAAAUAGACGUUGAAUUGACAUCUGUGCCCAAUGAGCUCUCUUUCUAUCUCUUUCUGUCUCUCUUUCUGUCCAUCUGCACACCAUCCCUCCUUUUGUUUUAGUUUUUUAUCUGUGAUGUCAUUCUAACAUAUGUGUGAUGUCAUUCUAACAUAUGUGUGAUGUCAUUCUAACAUAUGUGUGAUGUCAUUCUAACGUAUGUAUGUGUGAUGUCAUUCUAACAUAUGUGUGAUGUCAUUCUAACAUAUGUGUGAUGUCAUUCUAACAUAUGUGUGAUGUCAUUCUAACAUAUGUGUGAUGUCAUUCUAACGUAUGUGUGAUGUCAUUCUAACGUAUGUGUGAUGUCAUUCUAACAUAUGUGUGAUGUCAUUCUAACAUAUGUGUGAUGUCAUUCUAACGUAUGUGUGAUGUCAUUCUAACAUAUGUGUGAUGUCAUUCUAACAUAUGUGUGAUGUCAUUCUAAUGUAUGUGUGGGAAUUCAACAACAUAAUGCCCAUGGCGUAUAUCCCCAUUCUACAUCUCAACAACCCUGUUGGACACUGGCAUUGGUUGUAUCCACCCUACUAUUUACAGUGCAUGACUGAUACAUCGCUUCACUCUAACUAGUUUGGAACAUUGGAUAUUGGAAGACAGACCCUGUCUGAUAAUGACAUUCUCCUUUAAUUAGAGUCAGUUAUGAGCUAGUGGUGCGGUGCAAUGCCAUGACGACCCUAAACCAAGCUCAGCUCCACUGAGAUGAAUGGCAUAGUCCUGAGGGAGAGAGAGAACGAGAGAGAGAGAGAGAGAGAGAGAGAGAGAGAGAGAGAGAGAGAGAGAGAGAGAAAGAGAGAGAGAGAGAGAGAGAGNNNNNNNNNNUUUCAAGGUUUUACUGCUAACCUACAAAGCAUUACAUGUGCUUGCUCCUACCUAUCUUUCUGAUUUGGUCCUGCC